rnacentral:rRNA from 1 species
UACGUAGGGCGCAAGCGUUGUCCGGAAUUAUUGGGCGUAAAGAGCUCGUAGGCGGCCUGUCGCGUCGGCUGUGAAACCCGGGCGUCAACCCCACGGGCCUGCAGUCGAUACGGGCAGGCUAGAGUCCGGUAGGGGAGACUGGAAUUCCUGGUGUAGCGGUGAAAUGCGCAGAUAUCAGGAGGAACACCGGUGGCGAAGGCGGGUCUCUGGGCAACUACUGACGCUGAGGAGCGAAAGCGUGGGGAGCGAACAGG